GGGGGCGUGGCGGAAUUGGCAGACGCAGCGGACUUAAAAUCCGCCUCCUUCGGGAUUGAGGGUUCGAGUCCCUCCGCCCCUACCA
rnacentral:tRNA from 1 species